UACGUAGGGUGCGAGCGUUAAUCGGAAUUACUGGGCGUAAAGCGUGCGCAGGCGGUUCGUUGUGUCGGCGGUGAAAGCCCCGGGCUUAACCUGGGAAUGGCAUUUGGGACUGCAAGGCUCGAGUGCGGCAGAGGAGACUGGAAUUCCUGGUGUAGCAGUGAAAUGCGUAGAUAUCAGGAGGAACACCGAUGGCGAAGGCAGGUCUCUGGGCUGACACUGACGCUCAUGCACGAAAGCGUGGGGAGCAAACAGG
rnacentral:rRNA from 1 species